UUUCCCAUUUGACUACUACUUUUUUUCUUAAUUUAGUAGCUAUGCUUAUGGGAUAGAUGAAAAUUACCAUGAACUGAAGAGGGAGGAUUUUUUGUGUUCUCCUCCUAUAUGAAACAGCUGAACAGAAAACU